rnacentral:rRNA from 1 species
GCGAACGCUGGCGGCAGGCCUAACCCCUGCAAGUCGAACGAACCUUUCGGGGUUAGUGGCGGACGGGUGAGUAACACGUGGGAACGUGCCUUUAGGUUCGGAAUAACUCAGGGAAACUUGUGCUAAUACCGAAUGUGCCCUUCGGGGGAAAGAUUUAUCGCCUUUAGAGCGGCCCGCGUCUGAUUAGCUAGUUGGUUGAGGUAAUGGCUCACCAAGGCGACGAUCAGUAGCUGGUCUGAGAGGAUGAUCAGCCACAUUGGGACUGAGACACGGCCCAAACUCCUACGGGAGGCAGCAGUGGGGAAUCUUGCGCAAUGGGCGAAAGCCUGACGCAGCCAUGCCGCGUGAAUGAUGAAGGUCUUAGGAUUGUAAAAUUCUUUCACCGGGGACGAUAAUGACGGUACCCGGAGAAGAAGCCCCGGCCAACUUCGUG